GAACGCUGGCGGCGUGCUUAACACAUGCAAGUCGAACGGAAAGGCCCUGCUUUUGUGGGGUGCUCGAGUGGCGAACGGGUGAGUAACACGUGAGUAACCUGCCCUUGACUUUGGGAUAACUUCAGGAAACUGGGGCUAAUACCGGAUAGGAGCUCCUGCUGCAUGGUGGGGGUUGGAAAGUUUCGGCGGUUGGGGAUGGACUCGCGGCUUAUCAGCUUGUUGGUGGGGUAGUGGCUUACCAAGGCUUUGACGGGUAGCCGGCCUGAGAGGGUGACCGGCCACAUUGGGACUGAGAUACGGCCCAGACUCCUACGGGAGGCAGCAGUGGGGAAUAUUGCACAAUGGGCGGAAGCCUGAUGCAGCAACGCCGCGUGCGGGAUGACGGCCUUCGGGUUGUAAACCGCUUUCGCCUGUGACGAAGCGUGAGUGACGGUAAUGGGUAAAGAAGCACCGGCUAACUACGUGCCAGCAGCCGCGGUGAUACGUAGGGUGCGAGCGUUGUCCGGAUUUAUUGGGCGUAAAGGGCUCGUAGGUGGUUGAUCGCGUCGGAAGUGUAAUCUUGGGGCUUAACCCUGAGCGUGCUUUCGAUACGGGUUGACUUGAGGAAGGUAGGGGAGAAUGGAAUUCCUGGUGGAGCGGUGGAAUGCGCAGAUAUCAGGAGGAACACCAGUGGCGAAGGCGGUUCUCUGGGCCUUUCCUGACGCUGAGGAGCGAAAGCGUGGGGAGCGAACAGGCUUAGAUACCCUGGUAGUCCACGCUGUAAACGGUGGGUACUAGGUGUGGGGUCCCAUUCCACGGGUUCCGUGCCGUAGCUAACGCUUUAAGUACCCCGCCUGGGGAGUACGGCCGCAAGGCUAAAACUCAAAGGAAUUGACGGGGCCCCGCACAAGCGGCGGAGCAUGCGGAUUAAUUCGAUGCAACGCGUAGAACCUUACCUGGGUUUGACAUGGAUCGGGAGCGCUCAGAGAUGGGUGUGCCUCUUUUGGGGUCGGUUCACAGGUGGUGCAUGGCUGUCGUCAGCUCGUGUCGUGAGAUGUUGGGUUAAGUCCCGCAACGAGCGCAACCCUUGUUCACUGUUGCCAGCACGUUAUGGUGGGGACUCAGUGGAGACCGCCGGGGUCAACUCGGAGGAAGGUGGGGAUGACGUCAAGUCAUCAUGCCCCUUAUGUCCAGGGCUUCACGCAUGCUACAAUGGCUGGUACAGAGAGUGGCGAGCCUGUGAGGGUGAGCGAAUCUCGGAAAGCCGGUCUCAGUUCGGAUUGGGGUCUGCAACUCGACCUCAUGAAGUCGGAGUCGCUAGUAAUCGCAGAUCAGCAACGCUGCGGUGAAUACGUUCCCGGGGCUUGUACACACCGCCCGUCAAGUCAUGAAAGUUGGUAACACCCGAAGCCGGUGGCCUAACCGUUGUGGGGGAGCCGUCGAAGGUGGGACUGGUGAUUAG
rnacentral:rRNA from 1 species